rnacentral:rRNA from 1 species
GACGAACGCUGGCGGCGUGCUUAACACAUGCAAGUCGAACGAAGAGCGAUGGAAGCUUGCUUCUAUCAAUCUUAGUGGCGAACGGGUGAGUAACGCGUAAUCAACCUGCCCUUCAGGGGGGGACAACAGUUGGAAACGACUGCUAAUACCGCAUACGAUCUAAUCUCGGCAUCGAGGAUAGAUGAAAGGUGGCCUCUACAUGUAAGCUAUCACUGAAGGAGGGGAUUGCGUCUGAUUAGCUAGUUGGAGGGGUAACGGCCCACCAAGGCGAUGAUCAGUAGCCGGUCUGAGAGGAUGAACGGCCACAUUGGGACUGAGACACGGCCCAGACUCCUACGGGAGGCAGCAGUGGGGAAUCUUCCGCAAUGGACGAAAGUCUGACGGAGCAACGCCGCGUGAGUGAUGACGGGCCCUUCGGGUUUGUAAAAGCUUCUUGUAAAUUCGGGAACGAAAAGGCCCUUCCUUGCGAA